rnacentral:rRNA from 1 species
GAACGCUGGCGGCGUGCCUAAUACAUGCAAGUCGAGCGAACGGACGAGAAGCUUGCUUCUCUGAUGUUAGCGGCGGACGGGUGAGUAACACGUGGAUAACCUACCUAUAAGACUGAGAUAACUUCGGGAAACCGGAGCUAAUACCGGAUGAUAUUUUGAACCGCAUGGUUCAAAAGUGAAAGACGGUCUUGCUGUCACUUAUAGAUGGAUCCGCGCUGCAUUAGCUAGUUGGUAAGGUAACGGCUUACCAAGGCAACGAUGCAUAGCCGACCUGAGAGGGUGAUCGGCCACACUGGAACUGAGACACGGUCCAGACUCCUACGGGAGGCAGCAAUAGGGAAUCUUCCGCAAUGGGCGAAAGCCUGACGGAGCAACGCCGAGUGAGUGAUGAAGGUCUUCGGAUCGUAAAACUCUGUUAUUAGGGAAGAACAUAUGUGUAAGUAACUGUGCACAUCUUGACGGUACCUAAUCAGAAAGCCACGGCUAACUACGUG